GACAGCAGCCAUAGCACCUGCAGUUCAAACUUGGUAAACCAUCUGAAGCUAAGCAGGUUUGCGCCUGGCCAGUAUCUGGAUUGGAGACCAACUAAGAAAGCUGGGUUGCUGCUGGAA
rnacentral:rRNA from 1 species